UACGUAGGCAGCGAGCGUUGUUCGGAAUUACUGGGCGUAAAGAGUGUGUAGGCGGUGCUCUAAGUUCGGUGUGAAAUCUCCCGGCUUAACUGGGAGGGUGCGCCGGAAACUGGAGUGCUCGAGCGUGGGAGAGGAAAGCGGAAUUCCUGGUGUAGCGGUGAAAUGCGUAGAUAUCAGGAGGAACACCUGCGGUGUAGACGGCUUUCUGGACCAUUGCUGACGCUGAGGCGCGACAGCGUGGGGAGCAAACAGG
rnacentral:rRNA from 1 species